rfam:Gossypium hirsutum cultivar TM-1 chromosome 5, whole genome shotgun sequence
UUUUAAUUUUAUUUAUUUUUACUAUUAAAAAUUGACAUGAUUAACAGAAUAAUCAGAUAAUUACAUGUGGUGUGUUAUAUGUACCUUACACUAACCUAUAGAGAUUAGUUUUUAAUAGUAAAAAAUAGAUGAAAUUUUUAACA